rnacentral:rRNA from 1 species
UACGGGGGGAGCAAGCGUUGUUCGGAUUUACUGGGCGUAAAGGGCGCGUAGGCGGCCAGCGCAAGUCAGUUGUGAAAUCUCCGGGCUUAACUCGGAACGGUCAACUGAUACUGCGCGGCUAGAGUGCAGAAGGGGCAACUGGAAUUCUCGGUGUAGCGGUGAAAUGCGUAGAUAUCGAGAGGAACACCUGCGGCGAAGGCGGGUUGCUGGGCUGACACUGACGCUGAUGCGCGAAAGCCAGGGGAGCAAACAGG